rnacentral:snRNA from 1 species
AUCGCUUCUCGGCCUUUUGGCUAAGAUCAAGUGUAGUAUAUAAUUUUAAUAGGUCUGUAUUUAUUUUAAUGUGUACUAGAAGAAAACUUAC